AGAGUUUGAUCCUGGCUCAGGAUGAACGCUGGCGGCGUGCUUAACACAUGCAAGUCGAGCGAAGCACUCUGCUUUGAUUCUUUCGGGAUGAAGAGCAUUGUGACUGAGCGGCGGACGGGUGAGUAACGCGUGGGUAACCUGCCUCAUACAGGGGGAUAACAGUUAGAAAUGGCUGCUAAUACCGCAUAAGACCACAGCACCGCAUGGUGCAGGGGUAAAAACUCCGGUGGUAUGAGAUGGACCCGCGUCUGAUUAGCUAGUUGGUGGGGUAACGGCCUACCAAGGCGACGAUCAGUAGCCGACCUGAGAGGGUGACCGGCCACAUUGGGACUGAGACACGGCCCAAACUCCUACGGGAGGCAGCAGUGGGGAAUAUUGCACAAUGGGGGAAACCCUGAUGCAGCGACGCCGCGUGAGCGAAGAAGUUUUUCGGUAUGUAAAGCUCUAUCAGCAGGGAAGAAAAUGACGGUACCUGACUAAGAAGCCCCGGCUAACUACGUGCCAGCAGCCGCGGUAAUACGUAGGGGGCAAGCGUUAUCCGGAUUUACUGGGUGUAAAGGGAGCGCAGGCGGGAAGGCAAGUUGGAAGUGAAAUCCAUUGGCUCAACCCAUGAACUGCUUUCAAAACUGUUUUUCUUGAGUAGUGCAGAGGUAGGCGGAAUUCCCGGUGUAGCGGUGGAAUGCGUAGGUAUCGGGAGGAACACCAGUGGCGAAGGCGGCCUACUGGGCACCAACUGACGCUGAGGCUCGAAAGUGUGGGUAGCAAACAGGAUUAGAUACCCUGGUAGUCCACACUGUAAACGAUGAUUACUAGGUGUUGGAGGAUUGACUCCUUCAGUGCCGCAGUUAACACAAUAAGUAAUCCACCUGGGGAGUACGACCGCAAGGUUGAAACUCAAAGGAAUUGACGGGGGCCCGCACAAGCAGUGGAGUAUGUGGUUUAAUUCGACGCAACGCGAAGAACCUUACCAAGUCUUGACAUCCUGCGACGCACAUAGAAAUAUGUGUUUCCUUCGGGACGCAGAGACAGGUGGUGCAUGGUUGUCGUCAGCUCGUGUCGUGAGAUGUUGGGUUAAGUCCCGCAACGAGCGCAACCCUUAUGGUCAGUUACUACGCAAGAGGACUCUGGCCAGACUGCCGUUGACAAAACGGAGGAAGGUGGGGAUGACGUCAAAUCAUCAUGCCCUUUAUGACUUGGGCUACACACGUACUACAAUGGCGUUAAACAAAGAGAAGCAAGACCGCGAGGUGGAGCAAAACUCAGAAACAACGUCCCAGUUCGGACUGCAGGCUGCAACUCGCCUGCACGAAGUCGGAAUUGCUAGUAAUCGCAGAUCAGCAUGCUGCGGUGAAUACGUUCCCGGGCCUUGUACACACCGCCCGUCACACCAUGAGAGCCGGGGGGACCCGAAGUCGGUAGUCUAACCGCAAGGAGGACGCCGCCGAAGGUAAAACUGGUGAUUGGGGUGAAGUCGUAACAAGGUA
rnacentral:rRNA from 1 species